UGCGCGUGCUAUACAUGCAAGUCGAGCGGACCGACGGGAGCUUGCUCCCUUAGGUCAGCGGCGGACGGGUGAGUAACACGUGGGUAACCUGCCUGUAAGACUGGGAUAACUCCGGGAAACCGGGGCUAAUACCGGAUGCUUGAUUGAACCGCAUGGUUCAAUCAUAAAAGGUGGCUUUUAGCUACCACUUGCAGAUGGACCCGCGGCGCAUUAGCUAGUUGGUGAGGUAACGGCUCACCAAGGCGACGAUGCGUAGCCGACCUGAGAGGGUGAUCGGCCACACUGGGACUGAGACACGGCCCAGACUCCUACGGGAGGCAGCAGUAGGGAAUCUUCCGCAAUGGACGAAAGUCUGACGGAGCAACGCCGCGUGAGUGAUGAAGGUUUUCGGAUCGUAAAACUCUGUUGUUAGGGAAGAACAAGUACCGUUCGAAUAGGGCGGUACCUUGACGGUACCUAACCAGAAAGCCACGGCUAACUACGUGCCAGCAGCCGCGGUAAUACGUAGGUGGCAAGCGUUGUCCGGAAUUAUUGGGCGUAAAGCGCGCGCAGGCGGUUUCUUAAGUCUGAUGUGAAAGCCCCCGGCUCAACCGGGGAGGGUCAUUGGAAACUGGGGAACUUGAGUGCAGAAGAGGAGAGUGGAAUUCCACGUGUAGCGGUGAAAUGCGUAGAGAUGUGGAGGAACACCAGUGGCGAAGGCGACUCUCUGGUCUGUAACUGACGCUGAGGCGCGAAAGCGUGGGGAGCGAACAGGAUUAGAUACCCUGGUAGUCCACGCCGUAAACGAUGAGUGCUAAGUGUUAGAGGGUUUCCGCCCUUUAGUGCUGCAGCAAACGCAUUAAGCACUCCGCCUGGGGAGUACGGUCGCAAGACUGAAACUCAAAGGAAUUGACGGGGGCCCGCACAA
rnacentral:rRNA from 1 species